rnacentral:rRNA from 1 species
UACGUAGGGGGGCAAGCGUUGCUCGGAAUCACUGGGCGUAAAGGGCGCGUAGGCGGGAUGGCAAGUCAGUCGUGAAAUCUCUCGGCUCAACCGAGAAACGUCGGCUGAUACUGCCGUUCUUGAGGGAUGCAGAGGAGACUGGAAUUCCCGGUGUAGCGGUGAAAUGUGUAGAGAUCGGGAGGAACACCCGUAGCGAAGGCGGCACUCUGGGCCGAUUCUGACACUGAGGAGCGAAAGCGUGGGGAGCGAACAGG